CAAGGGGACCAGUGAGUCUGAUGGUGCUGUUACGGGUGUACCCACCCAUGGGAAGUGCAGAGACUUACUGCCAGGCGGCUGGGAUUUAUUUUAAUCAGAGAGGACCCCCUGGCACAACAAGGUUCCAAGAUAUUAAAGUGUCGGAAUGCAGAAAAGACACAGUUAGCACCCAGAGAUGCAACAUGACAUUCAGGCACAUCAAUAGCUGAGUUAAAGAUGCCUUUCCUUCUUGGCUCUGGGUGGAGCAGACUGCAACCCCGUGCAAACCAGGUGGAGGAACACACUUCACCCUCGUGUUCAUCCACAGAUGCUCUGUGUCUCUGGCCUGCCGUAAAAUCUGUGAAAGUCGUAAACCACAUCAUUCCUCAGAGGGAAAUCCUUUGACUUUGCAGUGAAUAAGGGUAUGUUGGAGAGAGAUGUCACUGCCUAUGAAACAGGACACGUGGAGUGUUCCAGACUGAUAUUCUGCAUGGGAGGGGAGCCCAGCUGGACUCCACUGGGAAAGGCUAACCCCUCCGCAGAGUGACAUUUACUUGAUUUUCCCCUCAUGCUGGCAAGGCUAGGCCUCCUGUAGUUCAACCUGUCAGAAGCUUCUGUUCCAAAGACUGCUGGAUGUUCCUCAAUAUCCAUUCCUCCUUCUUUAAGAGGAACAGAAUCUGGCUUUGGGGGCUGGGCACAGAGCAGUUCAGAAUCAAGCCUAUAUUUCCCAGCCUCCCUUGCAGCCGGCUGUGGUCAUGUGACUAAGUCCUUCCCAGGGGGAUGGGAUGGUGAACAGCCUGGACCUCCACCUGUAGGACUGCCAUGACAAUCCUGAGCUGCUUACUCUCAGAAGAUUCUGUGAGAGAGAAGGAAGCUGCAGCUGGAACAGUAUUCUAAUUCAAGGAGGUGGAUUCCUCACCAUAGCUGCUUGCAUCCCAGACUCCAAGGGAGGGGUCACCCAGGCCUGUGCCCUUGUUAGGGUGCUCCACCCCCCACAAUUGGACUUUAGCGUAAAACGGCAUUUUGAGCUUUGUUGUUGAUGCCCUACCGCUAGCUGCCUUUGUUCUUUGGGCCCAGCAGAGAAUUUAGGCACUGGAAGAUACAAACAGACUCUCUCUAUGUUUUAUUUCUAAGCCUCAAAUGAAAUCUCCAUGCGUGACCACAUUGUAAUUGCUGAAGACAUUUCUGUUAUCGUCUCACACAA